GACGAACGCUGGCGGCGUGCCUAACACAUGCAAGUCGAACGGAGAUUCAGAUGAAGCUUGCGAUUCUGAAUCUUAGUGGCGGACGGGUGAGUAACGCGUGGGUAAUCUGCCCUUAAGUGGGGGAUAACAGUCGGAAACGACUGCUAAUACCGCAUAAGCUGGCGGGAACACAUGUUUCUGUCAGGAAAGGUGGCCUCUUAACAAUGCUACCGCUUAAGGAUGAGCCCGCGUCUGAUUAGCUAGUAGAUGGGGUAAUGGCCUACCUAGGCGACGAUCAGUAGCCGGCCUGAGAGGGUGUACGGCCACACUGGGACUGAGACACGGCCCAGACUCCUACGGGGGGCAGCAGUAGGGAAUCUUCGGCAAUGGGCGGAAGCCUGACCGAGCGACGCCGCGUGAGGGACGAAGGCCUUCGGGUGUAAACCUCUGUCUGGGGACGGAGGUAAGGACGGUACCCCGGACGGAAGGCCCCGGCCUAACUACCGUGCCAGCAGCGCGGUAACGAUACUCGUA
rnacentral:rRNA from 1 species